AUUGAACGCUGGCGGCAUGCUUUACACAUGCAAGUCGAACGGCAGCGCGGGCUUCGGCCUGGCGGCGAGUGGCGAACGGGUGAGUAAUGCAUCGGAACGUGCCCAGUAGUGGGGGAUAGCCCGGCGAAAGCCGGAUUAAUACCGCAUACGACCUGAGGGUGAAAGCGGGGGACCGAAAGGCCUCGCGCUAUUGGAGCGGCCGAUGUCGGAUUAGCUAGUUGGUGGGGUAAAGGCUUACCAAGGCGACGAUCCGUAGCUGGUCUGAGAGGACGACCAGCCAACCUGGACCGAGGAACGGGCCAGACUCCCUAGGGAGGCCGGAGGUGGGAAAUUUGGACAAAGGGGGGAAACCCGAUCCAGGCAUGGCGCGGGGGGGAAAAAGGCCUUCGGGGUGGAAAACGGCUUUGGUUGGGAAGAAAACCCUCUGGGCAAAAACCCCGGGGGAUGACGGUACCGGAAGAAUAAGCACCGGCUAACUACGUG
rnacentral:rRNA from 1 species